AUAAUAUUAAAAAAAAAGACUGCAAUGCGGGCUGCUAGCCUUCCUACGGAAUUGAACGCAGAAAACAGAAAAAGGCAGCCCGCAGCAGCGAAAGAGCGCUGGCAGAGCUGCAUGUUCGAACAUGUGCAUGAAAGAGAACGCACGAGGGCAAGCGCAUGACGACGUUACACACCAACACACUUACACACACACACAUACAGACAAAGACUCGAUUAUAAAAGCGUAGAGAAGUAAAAAAUACACCACGAAAUCAAAGUGAGAAGGAAAAAACGUAAUGCAUACACAAUUUCAACAAUUUGCAUGCUAUAGCAGCGUAAUAAUUUAAUAAUAAUUAUAUAAACACCAGCAGCACCUUUUUUCAGGCACAACAAGACACGAUAUCAAGACGAGGAGGGUGUUGAUUUAUAAUAAUUCGAGACGAACCGAAAACACCGAUGCCUGCGAAGUGGGUCCAAAGAAAAAUGUUUUUACCUAUUUAUUUAUGUAUUACUUUAUGUUCGACGAGCGGAGCGCAGCAACCUCGCAGCUCAAAAGUGGAUGAAA